rnacentral:lncRNA from 1 species
AGAAACAAAGAUGAUAGAUAUUGAUCAUAGCACUCUAGGAGAACUAGUCGAUUUGGAAUUUAAUUAGAAAAUUAUUAGGAAAAAUAAUCGCAAGAAAAAGAAGUACCGAAUUAUUUAAAAAUUGUAAAUUAAUAGAACAGUAAUUGGAGCUUUUGAUAAUAAAUUCUACGGCGGAACAAUUUCCUUCGGUGGUGAACCGAGAUAUUCCUGCAUUUCGGUUUUGGUGUCAGCUCGUCUAUGUACGUAUGCGCAUAUGUACGUGUAUCUUGCAGAGCCUUCGCUGAACUUUGCCAUUUGCCAAGGACCGUGAGCUGGUCUGCACACAUUCUAAAACGAUUAAACGGCUAGUAGAAUAUGUCCGUGUAUAAACCGACCAAUGUGGAACUUGUCCAGUGGCUAUUCAAAGUUUUCGAUCCAAACGAACUUGUCGAGGUCAUUGCCGAUGGCGGUCGAGUGUGCUACUUUGCUACACCUACUGAUGGGCGUAUUGAAAGUAAUGAUAGAAGGAAAAAAGACCGAAGAAGAUUGGAGGUAGAGCAAAGGAAUGACCUUUGCUGAUAAGACGAGCUUACCUGGCACAUAAUCGAUUCUAGCUUGGGGCGAGAAAGUAGGAAAUAAGCGAAUGAAAAAAAGAAACGAACGAACAGGAAAAAUGGCUCUCACUUUGGUACAAAGUAAAUGUAAAAAAAAGUUGGUAAUAAAUCGGAGAACGAAUAGAA